GAAAGGAAACAAAGAUCCAGUAAAGGUGCCCAGCAUCAUGGCUGAUGAUCUGGAAAGGCGUGAAAAGAAACCACUAAGAGAUGAAGAGGUAGAAGAAGAUUAUGAAGAUAGGGUUUCAUUACAACUAGCGGAACAAGAAGAGGAGGAUCUUGACAGAAUUAAGGAGGAGAGCAG